rnacentral:rRNA from 1 species
GGCUCAGGACGAACGCUGGCGGCGUGCCUAACACAUGCAAGUCGAGCGGGGAUACAGGGAACGGAAGCUUCGGCAGAAGGGAGCUGUAUCCAGCGGCGGACGGGUGAGUAACGCGUGAACGAUCUGUCCCAGACAGGGGGAUAACACUUGGAAACAGGUGCUAAUACCGCAUAAGACCACGUAGCUGCAUGGCUAAGGGGUAAAAGGGGAGACUCGGUAUGGGGUGAGUUCGCGUCUGAUUAGCUAGUUGGUGAGGUAACGGCCCACCAAGGCGACGAUCAGUAGCCGACCUGAGAGGGUGAUCGGCCACAUUGGAACUGAGACACGGUCCAAACUCCUACGGGAGGCAGCAGUGGGGAAUAUUGGGCAAUGGGCGAAAGCCCUGACCCAGCAACGCCGCGUGAGGGAAGAAGGUUUUCGGAUUGUAAACCUCUGUUGUGGAUGACGAAGGAAGUGACGGUAAUCCACAAGGAAGCCCCGGCUAACUACGUGCCAGCCGCCGC